rnacentral:pre_miRNA from 1 species
AGUGGGAUAGCUGGGUCAAAUGGUGAUUGCAUUUCAAGUUUUCCAAGGAAUCUCCAUAUUGCUUUCCAUAUUGGCUGCACCAAUUUGCAGUACCACCAGCAGU